AUCCAGAUGACGAGUCCCAAAUAGGAUGAAACGCGUGUCGUGGAU
rfam:Schistosoma mattheei strain Denwood, Zambia genome assembly, scaffold: SMTD_scaffold0003202